GAAAAGAAAAAUAUUGGAAUGAAGAUUUUGGGGAUUUUGGCAAGGAUGAGCUGCAGGUUGGGGGCUCUUCUUCGAAUCUUCCAGGAAAGCUUCUCAGGUUUCAUCCAUACAGGCUCUGCAAAAGGUUGUACGAGUUUUUGUGACAUAUAGGAUGAGUUCUAAGAUUUGUCAUUCUGCUAUGUGGUAUACUUGAAGUUGGGAGAUGAAGGGCUGAAGACCGGAAGGAAGCUGAAAUAGAGCUGAAGAUAGAGAUCAUCCUCAACCUUGAACAUGCAAUGAAGGAUAUAACAUUUCAUUAUAUGUUUGCCUCUUCUUAUCUUCAAUUGUAUAUCAAUUUUUUCUAUGAAUGCUCAAUGUGGUUCAAUCAUU